UUGCCAUGCAAAAGGUCUAUGGUUGAGCCUUGGGAUUUGAUGAUGGACUUGAAAAGCCACCUACAGACGCUUUAUGCCAAAUCAUUCCGGAUAACACUUGCAUCCUUUGUAUUAUCGCGGCUGCUGGCAUAGAGUUAGCCAAUGCCUAUUC